AAUAACGAGAGGUCUCUAACCUUCGCUUUCGUCCCCUUCGCAGCCGCGCUGCCACCGCCGCCGCCGCCGCCGCCGCCGCCGCCUCCGAAGACGGUUGCAUGAGUAGCUGUUGGAGAUGUUGAAAGCCUUCCCCAAGGCAACCCUUGAUUCCUCCCCUCAUCCAACGGGAGAGGUCGAUUCACACGCUGUCACCGCUAAUGGUGAUGGCGACGCUGAGUCUCUGUUUGAACACCAGGGAGAGCGCGAUGAGGAGGACGAGAAGUUGGUGGAAGAGGAACAAGGGGAGGAGAUGGAGGAAGAUGAAGUAGGAGGAGGAAAGGAAGGAGAAGGAGGCUCCGAUUUGCUCAGAGACCAAGACUAUGAUACAAGCACAAAGCAUGAAGGCUGUCUCAAGGAACCAUCUUCCAAUCCCGCGAAUUCUUUUGUCAAUUCAGCCAAUUCUCAAGCUGAGUAUCUUAAGGGUGGCAACCUUGUCAAUCAUUCUCCAUCUAAGUUACAUAUCAAACAGACUUCUGAAAACAAUAAUGAUCUCAGCCAGCCUACUUCACAAAGAAGACCAAGGAGCUCCUCUCCCUGUAUUCAGCAUGAGAGUAAAAAUCCUGCAAUUAUAUGUAACUUUUUUGCUAGAGGUUGGUGCAUCAAGGGAAGCUCUUGUAAAUUUCUUCACAAGAAAGAGGUGGUUGACUAUGCCAAUCAGGGGACACAGGAAGAUAGGACUACUAAAGAUGCCAUUGAUUGCAAAGGUAUGCCAAAUAUGGGAAAUUUAACAAAAUCAGAUUUUCUUUUGCAUCGAGCCCUUGUUCAGACAUAUGGUGGGGAAACACAUGGAUUUUCUCAAUUCAAGGACACCAAUUCUCAGGCAUCUAAGAAUGAUGAACAUUUUCAAGUGGCUGGAACAAGGCAGCCAAAGUUCCAACAAAACUGUACAGUAACAGAUGUGCCUAUACCUUAUACCGAUUUUAGUGAAGAUAGAUACUCAUCAAGUGUUGAAAUUUCAUCUCGUCAUGUUUCAAGUGAACGAAUGAUGUACAAGGAAAUGCCCAGCGGAGAGCAUAGAUAUGAUGCAUCUUCUUUGAUAAAGAAUCCAUUGACUUCAGAAUCUAUUUGUUCUGUGGGUGGAUCCUCUAUGCUUCUUAAUGUACACAAUGAUAGCUGUGACAUCUAUUCUAUUGGGAAAAAGCCAGAUGACCUUGCUAGACAAUAUCAGCCAAGCCAUUUCACACUUCAUGGUUCACACACUUCUGGCUUAAGUAGCUCCAUCAAAUCAAAAUUUGUCUACUCUACUCAUUCACUUCGGGAAUCACCUGCAAUUGAAUCACUUCAUUCAUUUGCUCAAGUGGGCACAAGAUUAAGUCAAGGAUCUCCGCCAGUAAAUAUUUCUGUGGAACAAAAACUUCAAGAAAAUGCUUGGGAAACGUCUGUACCUUUUCAACCCUCAUUUUCCCUUGCACCUUUUUAUAAACCUUUUUGUGAAAGCCAAUAUGAUCCAUUUGUCGAUAGCAUUGACCAUCCAAAACGAGUUUUAACUUCUACUUCUCCAAAAGGUACUCUUGUAAGUACGGACAGCCAACAUACAAUUGGUGCUUUUAUAGCCGGAGAUGUUAGACCUGGAUAUGAUGCCAGCAAAUCUGUGAAUUCUUUUACUUCAGCUAGCGAAGGGAUCCUUGUUAUAAGAAAAGAAGUGCAUGAAUAUUCUAGCUACACUAUGUCACCUGGUUUUACUACAAAAGAGGAAGAGAAAGGGCAAAUCCCAGAUUUAACUAAUCCUGCACCUGUUAAUGAGUCAGAACGCAGGAAUAAUUUGAGAGUAGAUAAGGUAAAAUAUUCCAUGGAAUCAAAGGCAAUGAAGAUAUUCCAUUCUGCUUUGGUGGAAUUUUUGAAAGAGUUGCUAAAGCCGUCAUGGAAGGAGGGCCGCUUGAACAAGGAUACUCAUAAGUUGAUCGUUAAAAAGGCAGCUGAUAAAGUCUUGGGAGUGUUGCAACCGCAUCAAGUCCCUAAUGGACCAGAGGCAAUAGACCAAUAUCUAUUCUCCUCCAAGUCAAAACUUCUGAAACUAGUGGAGGCUUAUGUAGACAAGCAUAGUAAAACCUGAAAAAUUCCAUCUUUGGAUAGUUUAGUUAGAUGUGGAUAACUACACUGCUAAUGAAUGUGAUCUAAUUAUUUCGUGAGCAUACUAAACCUACAUCCAGGCCUUGCUAUUUAUGUGUGGAAUAUGCAGGUAUCAUGACUGAUGCUCUCUUUACUUUGAAGUGUGAAUUGAAGAAAAGAAAUUCAAGGAGGGAAAAACAAAGAGAACGACAGUCUUCAAUGAGUUUGCCAAUGUGAGUGACUGCCUCUCGGACCUUGUGGUCUCAAGCAAGGCUGCUCGUGGCCGCCUCACGAACAGCAGCCACCAGUGACACCAUCUUUGGCUGCGAGGUCGCUCAUGGCUGUGAACGGCCUUGUUGUGCUACUGCAGGAGAUUCGAGUGAUGCAUGUGUUGACGAGGAAGGGAAGGAAAGUUUGUUUUUGCCCCAUUUUGAACGGACAAAAAAAAAUGGCCAAAGAAUGACCUGUGAGUGUGGCAUUUGACUGCUUCUAUUUUAAUAGUUAAAAUAAAUUUAUUCUACAGGAAGACAUGGAGAAGAGAUAGGAGUUUGAAAAGAAUUAAAAUGUACAUAACAUGAUUUGCAAU